AGGUGCUAAUCCUACUGAAGCGAGGAGGCGACUUCCUAAUAUUUGUGGUUUUUUUCCAUGCUUUUAUAACGGUGAAGGGUUGGAACACGGAUUCUAUCGACGAAAAAAGACAGUUUGACCUCCGGCAUAUACCCGAAAAAUGUCUGACAUUUUAAUUUAGCAUUUUAGUCAUAUAACGUCAUACAUCAUACGUGUCAUAAUAUUAUAUUAGUACUGGUUAUAAAAACGAUCAUUAAAAGUAAAACAGUAAGAUAUGAAGUCACAUACAUAAAGAAACACUCAAUUUAUGAUGCAUUAAACUAAAAUCGCAAGAAAUGUGUUCCUUGUAUUAUAUUUUUUAAUAAUUCGGUUAAUAAUAACUUAACAUAUAUACUUGGACAUUAUUAACCAUGCAACAUAGGCACAGAAGAGUAUCUAGGAGUUCGUUAGAGCUACCAUGCAAGAUGGUCUGAUGGAAAGAAAAUUAAAUAAUUAAUGCAAAAAAAAAAUACAUGGAUGCUCUCAUAUGAUCAGAUGUAAGAUUUGCUACAAUGUGUAACUAAAAAGUCCGCCCCAACUUCCAUAGUUAAAAUAUACUGCCACCUAAAACAUCAAA